AUUGAACGCUGGCGGCAUGCUUUACACAUGCAAGUCGAACGGUAACAGGGUGCUUGCACCGCUGACGAGUGGCGAACGGGCGAGUAAUGCGUCGGAACGUGCCGAGUAGUGGGGGAUAACGCAGCGAAAGUUGUGCUAAUACCGCAUACGUACUGAGGUAGAAAGUGGGGGACCUUCGGGCCUCACGCUAUUCGAGCGGCCGACGUCUGAUUAGCUAGUAGGUGAGGUAAAGGCUCACCUAGGCGACGAUCAGGAGCGGGUCUGAGAGGAUGAUCCGCCACACUGGGACUGAGACACGGCCCAGACCCCUACGGGAGGCAGCAGUGGGGAAUUUUGGACAAUGGGCGAAAGCCUGAUCCAGCCAUGCCGCGUGUCUGAAGAAGGCCUUCGGGUUGUAAAGGACUUUUGUCGGGGAGGAAAUCCCCAGCGUUAAUACCGCUGGGGGAUGACAGUACCUGAAGAAUAAGCACCGGCUAACUACGUGCCAGCAGCCGCGGUAAGAC
rnacentral:rRNA from 1 species